rnacentral:misc_RNA from 1 species
GCCGACCCUGGCCAUCCAGUGCUGCCGUCAGGCGACUCAGGCAGAGUUACGUCGGUGCUGUGUGUAUGACGUGCGUUCGUGAACUAACUCGCGGUACGUCGAAAUGCUACCUUGACCGAUCAGUGUAGAUUGUCAGCGUGUAUACGAGGCCGCUUCUGGACUAUAUUCGAGCUCUUCCUCGUGUGCAAGUUUUGAAAGGUCUCGGCGCUCGAAAACUCGACACACGGGCCUGGUAGUUUGAUUCGGAGACAACGCUCCCCAAUGACGCACAUGGGGGCGCCAGUCUUCUUGCUUGUGGCAUUUUUGCCGUUCGUCGCGUGUCAAAGUGGCGGCGUGUAUACGAUCGUGGCGCCGCAAACUCUGCGGCCGAACCUCAAGUACCAUGUGAGUGCUUCGCUGAGCCAGAGCCGGUUGCCUGUUGACAUGCUGGUCACCGUGUCGGGUCGCGCAGACAACGGCAACUUCAACGUUAUCAACAAGAGAGCCACGCUUCAGGACCGUGAGACUCAAGUCUUGAGUUUCGAGAUUGGCGACUGGGGACCUGGAAAGUACAAGAUCACAGCAGAAGGCUCGGGCGGUCUGAACUUCCGAAAUGAAACUGACCUCACUUAUGAACACAAGAGUUACUCUGUUUUCAUGCAGACAGACAAAGCCAUCUACAAACCAGGGCAGAAAGUUUUGUUCCGUGUAAUUGUGGUGGAUCCGUAUCUGUUGCCCACCGUUACUGGUGCCAUGGAUGUAUACAUUGCUGAUGCCAAAGGCAACAGGAUUCAUCAGUGGGAUCGGGUGUUUACUCAGAGAGGAAUUUAUUCAUCUGAGCUUCAACUUUCUGAUCAACCUGUUCUUGGAGACUGGACUAUUAAUGUGGAUGUACUGGGUCAGAAAUUCAAGAAGAGUUUUACAGUUGCUGAAUAUGUGCUGCCCACAUUUGAGGUUAAGGUGGGCCUUCCUCCAUACGCCACUUACAAUAAGUCUGAAGUUGUUGCAACAGUUUCAGCUACGUAUACAUAUGGCAAGCCAGUGAAAGGCACUGUUACGUUGACAGUCACCCCUCGCACCCGAUACCACCAGCUGCAUCCAAGGCCUUACGAGCAGUACCAGACAAAAACAUCAAUUGAUGGCAGCGUAGACAUACCUGUAGUAAUUGUACGAGACCUCUCCCUCAAGACUGACUUCUUUCUGCGGGAGAUUGAGUUCUUUGCUUUGGUGACAGAAGAGCUGACUGGCCGCAAGUACAAUGCAACCAGCUACAUCAUUGUAUACGACAAGGAGAUAAAAGUUGAGCUUGUGAAAACUUCAGAAACCUUCAAGCCAGGCCUCAAGUACACCUGCUUUCUCAAGGUAGCCUACCAGGAUGACAGCCCUGUGAAUGAUGCAGUGAACCAGCUGACACUGCACUAUGGCUUCAAUUUUAAUGAAGAGCUCUGGCAGAGCAGCCAGCAUUGGGUGCCACAAAAUGGUGUCAUACGGUUGGAGUUCUUCCCACCCAAUGAGAACAGCACUGUAAUUCUGGGUCUUCGGGCAGAGUUCAGGGGUCAGACAUAUUACCUGGAUGGCAUCUACCCAGCCAAGUCUCCUAGUCGCAGCUUCCUCCAGGCUGUCAUGAUCACUGAGGAGCCUAAAGUAGGUGACAUUGUCGAGUUCGAGGUCAACGCUACUGACACUCUUGACCAUAUCGUCUAUGAGGUAAUGGGCCGAGGAGACAUAGUGUAUGCACAAACUCUUCCUGUGUCUGGUGUGCGUAGCUACCGAUUCAGCUUUUCUGCCACAUUCCGCAUGGCUCCAAAGGCACGAGUACUUGUCUACUACGUCAGGAAGGACGGUGAAGUUGUGGCUGAUGCUGUCAAUUAUGAUGUUGGAGGAAUUCUGCGGACACCUGUGCAUGUGCAGACAAGCAUAGCUGAAACAAAGCCUGGCGGGCAGUUGAAUGUCUUGGUGUCAACAAAACCUAAUGCAUACAUUGGUAUUCUUGGUGUUGACCAGAGUGUGUUGCUCCUUAAGAAGGGCAAUGACUUGAGCCAGGAACAGGUUAUAGAAGAACUGGAAUCAUUUGAUAGUGGGAAGAAGGCAAAGUACUGGCCCCCAUGGUACAGAAGGCGCAGGCGUUCUCUCUGGUGGCCAGGAUCAACAACUACACAUGACCUCUUUAAGGAUGCAGGCAUGGCUGUGCUUACAAAUGGCCUUGUGUACGAGUUUGACGAUGCCAUCUAUGCGAGGAAGCAAGUGAUUCGUCUAGACACUGAUGUCUUGACCAAUCCCGUCCUUCCACCGGCUGGGCUCCCUGAAGCACCACCUCAGGUGCCUGGUCGCAUUAGGCUACGUCAGCAGUACCCUGAAACUUGGCUUUGGACCAAUGCCACUGCCAGUCCUGAUGGUAGGGCUGUCAUUUCAAGUACUGUUCCUGACACCAUUACAUCUUGGGUAAUCAGCGCAUUUGCGCUAGAUUCUCUCACUGGCCUUGGUAUUGCACCCUCUCAAGCAAAAGUGACUGUCUUCCGGACAUUUUUUGUCACUGCCAGUUUGCCAUACUCGGUACUUCGUGGAGAGUCUGUGGCAAUCCAGUGUGUAGUUUUCAAUUACAACAACAAGCCGGUUGAGGCGGAAGUGACAUUAGAGAAUCGACGUGGAGAGUUCAUCUUCAGUUCAUUGUCAAAUGAUGUCACAGGGGAAGAAGGAAAGGACAGACGUUCCAAGAAAGUUACAGUACCAGCUCGGGAUGGUGUACCUGUGUCUUUUCUGAUCACACCUCUUAAGCUGGGCUACAUUGACAUUCGAGUGUCGGCUACUUCAAGUCUGGCUGGUGAUGCCAUACUGAAGAAACUCCUUGUGAAGCCUGAAGGCUCAAAACAGCACUUCAACAAGGCCAUUCUAAUUGACAGAAGGAAUCCUUCAGCUCCUCCCACUGUGUCCAACAUCACUAUUCCUGUUCCAAAGAAUGCAGUUCCUGGAUCAGAGAGGAUCAGUAUCUCUGCAAUUGGUGACCUCCUUGGCCCAAGCGUGAACAAUUUGGACCAGCUGCUGGUGAUGCCGCAUGGCUGUGGAGAACAAAAUAUGUUGGAUUUUGUGCCAAACAUUGUUGUUCUUGACUAUCUGAGCCGAGCCAAUCGGUUGUCAGAUGCUGUUCGAGGCAAAGCAAUACGGAACCUCGAGGAUGGCUAUCAACGAGAGCUAACAUACAAGCGUGAUGACAAUUCGUUCAGUGCUUUUGGCAACACAGACAAGAGUGGCAGCACAUGGUUGACAGCAUUUGUGCUCAAGAGUUUCGCUCAGGCUUCACCAUACACAGUUAUUGACCCCAAAGUACUUGAAAAUGCCACUGCUUGGCUCGUGGCACGCCAGCAGGGCGACGGCUCAUUUAACGAACCUGGAGAGAUUAUCUACAAACCAAUGCAGAGUGGUGCUGGGAGUGGACCUGCAUUGACAGCUUAUGUCAUGAUUGCCCUCCUGGAAAACAAGGCGAAGCAGACACAUCCUGGCAUCAUCCAAGCAGCAGAGGCCUAUCUUCUGAAGGAAUUGCGAACAACCAAUGAUCCCUACGUUGUGUCCUUGGUGACUUAUGCUUUGCACCUAUCGGGGCACAGUUCACAGGACAGUGCUUUCCAAAAGCUUCUUUCUCUGUCAACGAGAGAAGAUGAUACCGUUCACUGGAAGGACCCGUCCCUGGCUGUCAAUACCACAGAUAAGCAGUCCGACUAUUUUUUCAAGCCCAGCUUCAAGGACGUUGAGAUGACUGCAUAUGCUUUGCUUACCCUAACUGAAAGGGGGGACAUAGGCAAUGCCAUUCCUGUAAUGAGGUGGCUUGUUUCCAAGCAGAAUGAAAAUGGUGGCUACAGCUCUACUCAGGAUACAGUGAUAGGAAUUCAGGCAUUGGCACGAGUAGCAGCCAGAGUUGUGUCCCAGACAAUUGCUAUAGAUGCCAGUGUGAAGUAUGGAGAUGGACGAAGCCGCAUCCUGAAGAUUAACAGCGGCAACGCCCUUGUACUGCAACGCCUCGAGCUGCCUUCUGACCUCAAGUACGUUCAGGUUGAAGCAACAGGAUUUGGAGUGGCAGUGUUGCAGGUCUCCUGGUCAUUCAACUUAGCGGUGUCUUCAGAAUCACCCGCAUUCUUCUUAAAUCCUUUGCUGGACAAGACUUCAACUGAAAACUAUCUUCAGCUCAGUGUCUGUACACACUACCAAGGAGAAGGGGAUGCUAGUAACAUGGCCGUCAUGGAAGUGGCCUUGCCUUCGGGCUACCUCUUUGACUUUGACACUCUGAGCAGUAUCCACAGGACCAAGGAGGUGCGGCGGGUUGAGAGCCAAGAUGCUGACACAAAUGUUGUCAUCUACUUCGACAGGAUUGGUAGGGAAGAGCUGUGUGUCACUGUACCAGCUCAUAGGGAGCAUAAAGUUGCCAACCAAAAGCCUGUUCCUGUCAAGGUCUAUGACUACUACAAUUUAGCUCGCAGUGCCAGAAUGUUCUACAGUCCCCACAAAGCAACGCUGUGCGAUAUCUGUGAUGGUUCUGAGUGUGGAAACGACUGCAAUGCUGUGAAGCAGACAACCUCGGUCACGAAUCAGCUGGAAAGAGAAUCUGAGCCAGAUGGAGCCAGUGGCAUUCAUGCAUCACAUCUUUCAAUAGCCGUCCUUGUCACCAUUGUGGCAUUCUUUCAGAGGUAGUGGCAUGGAAAGUAUAUUGAUGCUAGGCGAACUGCUCGGUAUAGUGCUACAUUUCAUAUUGUACUGUUUUGUGACUUGGCAUCAUCACAAAGGCCUGCUCAGAUUUAUUUAGCUUGUUUUGGCAAUCAUGCGGUUGCAUCCGUGGUUUGAUUGUGUGCUUUUUUUGUCAAUCAGUACAUUUUGUGUAGUGUAAAACAUAUCAUUAUAUUGGUGUUCUUUGUGAUCCUGACAAUGAUCUGUUUUUAUCUGUGAAUUCUGUGUUUAUCUAUCGUGUGCAUGUUUUUGUGCUUCUGCAAGCACUGCAAUCACUGCUUUAUAAAAUGUCUGUAAAGAUUUUUAAGUGUGGAGCAUAUAGUUGCUGCAUUUCAUUUCUGUAGUUAUGUACUUCCAUAGAGAGACAACUUCAAAAAGUUAUUUGUAGAUACAUGUAGUACUUGUAUCACAAAGGCAUACGGCUCAUGUAGGUGCAUCAUGAGAAGACUAAGAUUCCCUUCCGUAUUCCCUUUGCCCCCUGCACAAAGGGUCAGGCCAGAGCAAGAAGUGGUGAGAUCCACUUCUGGCUGAGCUCUACUCCAUUUUAAUCUGAAAUUUUCUUUAACCCUCUCUGGGAAAAUCCACCAAUAAGUCGGCCCCUACUCUGCUCUGCCCUUGCCGUUGUGCAUGUUCGGGACCAGGUGGCAGUAGGCAUGGUUCUGUUAUAGCCUUGGAAUUUUUUAAAAGUAUUGAGACCUAAUUAGGUAUUGCGUUUUGGCUUGAUACAUGAAAAUUAUAACUGUAAUGUUCUAUCAAAAGUCAUUAUUUAAACAUUGAUGUGUAGGAUUUUGAAUAUUGGUUUUGAGGUGUACUUCCUUUGAAACAUCUCAAAGCAUAUUGUAAAUCUGUUCAAUAUGCCAGAUGUUUACUUAAAGGGGUUGCUUAAAAAGGGGUUUGCAUUUUACCAAGACGUUUGCUUAUAUUUGGCUGCUGCAUGCAGUGAAAUAUAAUUUGGCUGCAUGCAGCAGGUAAACCACUGCAUAAAAGAUAGCUUGCUUUCACCUGUGGUUUUCGAUGCCCUUUCCAUUAUAUCCAACCAAUAAAAUCAGACCUUCAACACAGCACAUAGAUGCCAGCCAUUGGGCAAUUGUCCAUAAUCGUGAAUUACUCCAGUGCAAAAACAUGCAUAUGCGUGCACACUCCUACAACCUUCUAGGAGAUGGUGAAGAAAAGUGUUCUGCCACUGCUGCAUUAUUUCUUUGCGGCACCUUGGUCAGUUGCCAACCUUGGGAGUUUUACAGAAGUGCAUCGCUCAAAGAAAAAGUAAGAAAGGAGCAAUAGGCAGGGUAUUGCUAUUGGUGCCGCUUCAGCUGUGAUGUAAACGUGUUGAGGGGGAAUGGGGAAAGUAAACAAUGCGCUCUUAACAUCUCUGUUGUGACUGGGUCUCUUUCAAAAAUUUCUGUGGGGAUAUAUUAAGUCAUUGCACUCACUUCAUAGUGUUCUCAGUUUUAAAGAGAAUGCGUUGCAGGGCCUGUUUAAAGGAAGUGCAUUGGAUACAAAAUAAUGUGCCUGAACUGUUCAGUUUAUCAAACAAUUCAUCUUACCAGCUUUCACUCUUAAAGGGAGUAGGUUUAUAUGUUGUAGAUGCUUUUGUGUUGUGUUCAGUGUUCAUUUUAGCAAGCUUAAUGAAAUGAUAAUCAAAACUUUAGUGCGAGACCCAUAUGAUGUGUGAUGUACUUUGUCACUUCAGAUUCUCAUUAUAAGGUGUCUUAGCUACUGGGUCGCACAUUUUCCUGCUAAGAAAACUGUUUAGUGCAGGUACCAAAUUAGCCAUGUUGGAUACUUAUUGAGAAUACAUUCCAAGGCCAGCUACUACUGUGGAGUGUCAGUGUCCAGUAUUGUGCAAAAAUGAUUAUACAACAAAGGCCAGUGGUACGCUCUUUUAAAAAUUUUGAAAUGUUGGCUGUGGAAGCAAUAUGUUAAACUGGGUAAUGCAGGGAUACUCGGAGGCAUGGAGUGCAAAAGUUUGGUGCCCCUUACCAUCAGUAUAAGACAAUACAGGAGAUCUUAGGAAUGCAAUAAAUAUGUUGGUGCAAGGUAUUUGGGGGUAUCAUUAGGCUGGCAAAUUUUGGUUCCUAUAUCAUGGUAACAGUUAUAAAGGCAUAAUGAAGCAAUGCUGCUUUUAUGGUGGAACUGAUGACAAGGUUAUUUUUAUAUUGUGAUUAAGCAUUCUAGGACAGGAAGAAAAUAUUUUGCACCAUAAAUCUUUAACACAAGAAGCUGUAUAGUUUGCAAAACGUAAAUGUCGAUGGGAGACAUGCUUCUCCAAGACAUUGGACGAAGGUAUAUUUGAUUUGUUUUCUUGCUCUCUUGACCUAACAAAGCUUGGGAGGCUCCGCCUUGUGCUUCAUUGUAAACUAUGAGAUCAAGAAACUUGCAUCUGUGCUCUGCUCAUUUACUUUGAAAAGCGGUGCUUCAUAUUUAAAUUUGCAGUGCCAUGAAAGGCAAAUGCCCCAUGUCUGCAGCACCUGAAAAGCACUUCAGCAUUAUAAAUCUUGCCCGAGUGAGAAAGCAUAAAAUUGAUCUCCUGUGCCACUAAAACCAGUAGUCAGAUGUUUAUCAGUACACCAUUUUGCAUCAGUACAGCUUGAAUGUUGGAAACUCUAGGUUUAGUUUCCAAUCAAGUUUAGCUUCAGAUGUUUCUCUUUAAUGCUGGUAUGUAGGUAGGUAUGUGCAUACAUAUAGAAUGGAAGUCUUGGAAGGUACUUUCUGAAGCAAAUGUUCAGAGAGCAUGGCCACAGCGAAAUAUUUUUGUGCCAUUGCUUCGCCACUUGGAAUUGGGACAUGUGCUGCGUUGGUUGAAAAUGCAUGUGUAUGUGACACUUGAUUUCAAGCUGCUUGUCUAGGUUGUGCAAUAAGGUUUUCUGUGAUGUCGAUGCUCUCCAAACUAUUGCUAAUUGAGUUUACAUUGUUCUCAUGCUUUGCCCUACCUACCGUGGCGACAGAAAAAUAUUGCUCUUCAGGAAUGCAGAAAUGUUCCUGGGUUGCAGACUUAAGGUCAGUCUGAAUGCCACAGUAAACAAGUAGGACAAAUUUUUUUCAGUUAUGUGGGUAUUGUACGAGGAUUGCACUUUGCAUGGGCAUACAAUCUAUUGUAGUGGUGUGCUGAUGGUAAACCAAUAAUGCAACUCUCAAAUCAUAAUUGCUCCUACCAUUGCAAUCAGAAUAGCUGAGGUUGAGUGUGUCGGAAAUUCAGUGCAAGGCUCAUGUAGGUAACGCAACCCUGGGCAUUAUUGUAGCGUUAUUGCAGCUCUUUAAACCAAUUUUAAUGGAAUCAUCAUUGGCUGUUGCACGACCGUUAUAACUCCCUGCAUCACUGUAGGUGACCUCUGCAGUGCACUUGGAUGAUUAUGAGGUGCUUGGCUCCAGCCAGCAUUCCUGUAUUUAGGGUCUUGUUAGCUUGGAUAGGGUCGGAUAACAGCUUACAUAGUGUAUUAGGAAAACAUAUUCACUGAUGGUAGUACUUCUGGCAAAUUAUCUCUGGGUGUACACUGGUGGAAAAAAAAUUCCCUCAUUGCUGUCCCUGGUUCACCCUUAGAGUGGGAUGAUUUAUAUAGUUUUAGUGGUGUUUCAUUGUCCACAGUUUUACUGGUUUCAAUGCCCUCAUUUUCUGGUAAUUUCAAGUGGCUCAAAAUAGAAGGUACCCAAAUCUUUUAACUUUUAAAAACUUUUAGAAGCUACUAUAAACCUCAUUCAUAAAAAGUACAGUACUAACAAGGGAAAGUUCUGGCUGCUAGAAUGCAAAGAAGUUGCAUUUGGAUCUGUGCAGCAUUGUUGUUAGUGUGCUAAACUACUUGUUCCUUAUUAUAAACGUGACUCCAUAUGGUCACUUUAGCUACUUUCUAUAUGUAACUGAUUUUAAAGGACUUGUGCCAGAGUUUCAAGCUACUUGUUCUGUAAAUGGAUCCUUAUGACUUGUUUUCCUUAUCUGCUGUAUGUUUCUUGAACAACUAGAUUCUUUUUUACACGAGUCGUAGCAAUGUGCUAACUGUAGUAGAAAAGUAAACGUUGGAUCUUGUUUAUUUUCUCCGUCCUAAACUACCUACAGGUUUGUUUGUGGUACUGUGUUUAUACAUAGUACAGCACAAUCUUGUUGUGUCAGCAACUGGAUGCAAUGGUUUAUCCUUUAUAUGCUGGUACAUAUUUGAAAUGUUGCAUGCAGUUGUUCGACACGUGUACAUACAUUUUUAUGUAUUGUCUUUAUAUUCUGCUGCAGGCAGUUCUAACUCAAUAUAUGGCGUCUCUUUAGUAUGACUUCUACUGGUGCUUGUACAUAACAUAUAUUUUUAUGUAGCUGUUCAGAGCCUGUUGUGCUCAUAAAUUGCUAUGUUGUAGCAUUUGCUAUAAUAAUACUGUGAUGCUGAACUCUGUGUGCUGACUUGUAUUUAGUGAUGAGUCUUUGUGCAAUGCAGAGGCUCUGCAAGGUAAUUACAUAUGUGUAAAAGCAGUUUGCAGCUAUGUGUGCCACACAGAAUGUGAUCUUUUCCUGAUCUUAUUGUUUGACUGAAGCUCCUUUUAAGCAUGAACCAAGACUGUUGGUUAGAACCAACUACAUGACUUCAAUUUUAUUGCCUUUGACUUACCUUGUUCUCUCCACCGUAUUUAUUUUCCAGUCAACUUGCCUUUGAGUCUUGCAGAUCCUGUUGUAAAGUGCACAUGCCAAUGUAUGCAUAUAUUGCAGUAAAAGCUCCCAUGCUUGAGCACUCAGGA